GGCAACGUUCAUACCACAUUUAAAGCACCAGUUUUCGUCCGAUCACUGAAGUUAAGUAAUGUUGGGCACGGUUAGUACUUGGAUGGGUGACCGCUUGGGAACACUGUGUGACGUUGGCA
rnacentral:rRNA from 2 species